rnacentral:rRNA from 1 species
GAUGAACGCUGGCGGCGUGCCUAAUACAUGCAAGUCGAGCGAACAGACGAGGAGCUUGCUCCUCUGACGUUAGCGGCGGACGGGUGAGUAACACGUGGAUAACCUACCUAUAAGACUGGGAUAACUUCGGGAAACCGGAGCUAAUACCGGAUAAUAUAUUGAACCGCAUGGUUCAAUAGUGAAAGACGGUUUUGCUGUCACUUAUAGAUGGAUCCGCGCCGCAUUAGCUAGUUGGUAAGGUAACGGCUUACCAAGGCAACGAUGCGUAGCCGACCUGAGAGGGUGAUCAGCCACACUGGAACUGAGACACGGUCCAGACUCCUACGGGAGGCAGCAGUAGGGAAUCUUCGGCAAUGGGCGAAAGCCUGACGGAGCAACGCCGCGUGAGUGAUGAAGGUCUUCGGAUCGUAAAACUCUGUUAUUAGGGAAGAACAAAUGUGUAAGUAACUAUGCACGUCUUGACGGUACCUAAUCAGAAAGCCACGGCUAACUACGUG